AUGCCUACUCUAAAGGAUUGCUACGCAUGCAGGGAAAAAAUCGGAGUUGCCAGCAAAACAUGUCAGCACUGUAGGGCCAAACAGCCAUAUAAGGAAUUGCUUGAAAAAAAAAAGAAACAGCUUUCCCAGGAAUGGAAAGAGAGACAAAAAAAAAACAGCAGUGUAAACAAAGUUUACGAUGCAACAAAUCUACUACUCCACAAGUGGGAACUUUUAGAGAGGUUCCCAGUGCUACUUCUUGCCAGGAGAACCUCAAAUGGAUUUUCAGCUGAAUGCUUCUGUCCAUGGAAGAUAGGGACGGAAGAUAGUCAGGAUGCUUUUCUGACAAUAAAGCGACUGUAUGAAAGUCUUCUCAAUGGUAAUAAACACAAAUGUGCAAUGCUUGCUAAAUUUUCACAUAAUGCAUUGCUUAUUAGUGCAUCCUCGACUGAUUUGAGUUGAUUUCUCUCUCUAGGUUUAAAAAAAUGUUUAAACAUGUGAACGAAUGAAAGAAUAUUUGAAAAUGUCUCUUUCAACAGGAAUAACAUUUUAAAACACAUAUUGGUUUCAUUUAUCAUAAUCCCAACAUUUUAACCUUGAAGCUUCCUUUUUACAUAGGUAAAAACAAUGUAAGAACACUUUUGAGCGGGGCCUUGUAUUUUUUGGAUCAUAUCAAAUUGAUAAUACAUUAUUAAAUACAACCCAUAGGUGGACUUAAACAUAAAGCAUAAUAAAAUGUUUUAUUUUAUUAAACUGUACUUAUUUUAUUCAAUUAAUACAAUUAUAUUUUUAUAUUAUUGUUAUUAUGACCACAUUUACAGUUUCUUUUUUCCAACAGUGGCUAUUGCAGAUAAAGAAGCAAGCAGCACAGGAGAGAGUUCUGCCACAAACAUCACAGAGACUCCACCAGCAGACUCCACACAUCAGCUCACCUGUAAUGUGUCUAACAAAGAUAAAGAAGCAAGCAGCAUGGGAGAGAGUUCUGCCACAAACAGCACGGAGACAGAGACUUCACCAGAAGACUCCACAGCAGACCCAAAUUCAGAGCUCACCCCUGAGUCUGACACUGUUUUACUUCCUCCUGCAUCUUCCUCCUUGGCUUCUCCUGUUUCCUUUACCACCCCCUCUCUUAUGUCUUUAUCCAUUGCUCCUCCAGUGUCCCCCCUGACUCAUCCUGCUUUUGUGUCCUCUCAGUCUAGUCCUAUAUCUUCUUCCUCUGCUUCUCCUCUGCCACCAGCCUCUAACCUUUCUACCCGUUCUAAACUAUCCACUGAGCAAGGCAGUUCAGGCCCAGUAGCUUCCUCAUGGAAAAAAAGACAAAUAAAGAGGAAAGCAGACCCUAAAGAAUGCCCCAUGCAUGAGGAAUCAACCAGUUUCCCAUACAAAAAGAUACUGAGGAAAAGAAUGAGGGAGGGCCAUGCAGAGGUGUUGGUUCAGUGGCAUCCUUGCUCUGGAUGUGGGAAAAAGUGGAAGAACUCAUGGGAGCCAAAAAGAAAUAUUCAAAGUUCAUCCUGAAGAUGUGUGUGUGUUCAGAUGUGUUGUUUGUUGCUAGGUUGUAAAGUUGAUGCCCUGUAUGACAAUUACAGAGACUGACUUAAAAUUUUGUCUUUUAGUGUAAAGGCACAUCAGUUCUGAUCUACAGUAUGCUCGUGUUCUGAUUUGUGCUUGCUUUGUGAAGCACACAGUCUUUCUGUUUUUGAUGACUGGACUCAUAAAUUUUUUUUAAAUAUGUAACUGGCUCUGUUCCUUAAUAUAAUUUAAGAUUAUUUAUAAUUUGUCAUUUAAGAGCAAAAAUAUAUGCACUGUAACUAAGUGCAAUUACUGAUGUUUACUGCUGAAAAUUUCAGAUAAAUCCACGUUGUUAUUAUUAUUAUUAUUUAUUUUCGUUAUUCAUGACCAAAAAGCACAUAUUAGCCCACAGUCUAGAUGUGUUUUUAAAUCUAUAAUGUGUGUAUGGGAGGAUAGACCAGUACAUUUUUUUGGGCCUUGCAAAUGAGCAAACAUCUGAAGCUGGUACUUCCUUUCCCUGCAGGUAAGAACACAAGGAAGAUAUUGAUUAAAUACUAUCAAUACCAGAACAAUACUUUUUGUAAAUGAUGGCACUUACCAUGCCCAUCUGCCACUGGACUUUGAGAUAAAUGGGUAAUGUAGUCAAUAAUUUCCAUCAGUUAUAAACUCACCCAUUCAUUGCAAAACUUAUGUUAUUGCCCUGAGAGAUCUAAUCAGUGCUAUGAAGAGCCCCUGUCUUUGCUACACAUUAAAAAAAAAUAAAAAAAUUGCAGAAUUUAUAAAAUUAUUAAAA
ensembl:lncRNA